rfam:Pteropus alecto contig9598, whole genome shotgun sequence.
GGUUUCAUAGUGUAGCGGUUAGCAUGUCCGCUUUAUAUGCAGGAGGUCCUGGGUUCAUGCCCCAGUGGAGCCA